CAAACGGUUCUUUUUAGAACCAUAAUAUUCUUCAUAAAAAGAGUUU
rfam:Oryctes borbonicus contig942, whole genome shotgun sequence.